rnacentral:rRNA from 1 species
GACGAACGCUGGCGGCGUGCUUAACACAUGCAAGUCGAACGGAAAGGCCCUGCUUUUGUGGGGUGCUCGAGUGGCGAACGGGUGAGUAACACGUGAGUAACCUGCCCUUGACUUUGGGAUAACUUCAGGAAACUGGGGCUAAUACCGGAUAGGAGCUCCUGCUGCAUGGUGGGGGUUGGAAAGUUUCGGCGGUUGGGGAUGGACUCGCGGCUUAUCAGCUUGUUGGCGGGGUAGUGGCUUACCAAGGCUUUGACGGGUAGCCGGCCUGAGAGGGUGACCGGCCACAUUGGGACUGAGAUACGGCCCAGACUCCUACGGGAGGCAGCAGUGGGGAAUAUUGCACAAUGGGCGGAAGCCUGAUGCAGCAACGCCGCGUGCGGGAUGACGGCCUUCGGGUUGUAAACCGCUUUCGCCUGUGACGAAGCGUGAGUGACGGUAAUGGGUAAAGAAGCACCGGCUAACUACGUA